UACCAUAUUUUAGGGCAUUAGGUCAAAGGC
rnacentral:piRNA from 1 species